AKSGGCAKCUAUACAUGCAGUCGAGCGGACAGAUGGGAGCUUGCUCCCUGAUGUUAGCGGCGGACGGGUGAGUAACACGUGGGUAACCUGCCUGUAAGACUGGGAUAACUCCGGGAAACCGGGGCUAAUACCGGAUGCUUGUUUGAACCGCAUGGUUCAAACAUAAAAGGUGGCUUCGGCUACCACUUACAGAUGGACCCGCGGCGCAUUAGCUAGUUGGUGAGGUAACGGCUCACCAAGGCAACGAUGCGUAGCCGACCUGAGAGGGUGAUCGGCCACACUGGGACUGAGACACGGCCCAGACUCCUACGGGAGGCAGCAGUAGGGAAUCUUCCGCAAUGGACGAAAGUCUGACGGAGCAACGCCGCGUGAGUGAUGAAGGUUUUCGGAUCGUAAAGCUCUGUUGUUAGGGAAGAACAAGUACCGUUCGAAUAGGGCGGUACCUUGACGGUACCUAACCAGAAAGCCACGGCUAACUACGUGCCAGCAGCCGCGGUAAUACGUAGGUGGCAAGCGUUGUCCGGAAUUAUUGGGCGUAAAGGGCUCGCAGGCGGUUUCUUAAGUCUGAUGUGAAAGCCCCCGGCUCAACCGGGGAGGGUCAUUGGAAACUGGGGAACUUGAGUGCAGAAGAGGAGAGUGGAAUUCCACGUGUAGCGGUGAAAUGCGUAGAGAUGUGGAGGAACACCAGUGGCGAAGGCGACUCUCUGGUCUGUAACUGACGCUGAGGAGCGAAAGCGUGGGGAGCGAACRGGAUUAKAUACCCUGGUAGUCCACGCCRUAMACGAUGAGUGCUAAGUGUUAGGGGGKUUUCCGCSCSCUUASWGSUGCSSCUCWCRCRUUWMGCACUCCSCGUGKKGGAGUACRGYSYCRAGASUGAGACUCAMAMGRAWUUUKACAGCKSAUAA
rnacentral:rRNA from 1 species